GAUGAACGUUGGCGGUGUGCCUAACACAUGCAAGUUGAGCGUGGCAUUAGUUUACUAAUGUCUAGCAGCGGACGGCUGAGUAAUGCACAGGAACGUACCUCGAAGUGGAGGAUAGCCCAUCGAAAGAUGGGGUAAUACUGCAUGUGAUCGUAAGAUCAAAGCCGCAAGGUCGCUUCGAGAGCGGCCUGUGUCCUAUCAGG
rnacentral:rRNA from 1 species